rnacentral:rRNA from 1 species
CUACGGAGGGUGCAAGCGUUACUCGGAAUCACUGGGCGUAAAGCGCGCGCAAGCGGCUAUUUAAGUUGGAUGUGAAAGCCUAUGGCUCAACCAUAGAACUGCAUCCAAAACUAUUUAGCUAGAGUGUGGGAGAGGAAGAUGGAAUUAGUUGUGUAGGGGUAAAAUCCGUAGAGAUAACUAGGAAUACCAAAAGCGAAGGCAAUCUUCUGGAACAGUACUGACGCUGAGGCGCGAAAGCGUGGGGAGCAAACAGGAUUAGAAACCCUAGUAGUCC